rnacentral:hammerhead_ribozyme from 1 species
AUUCAACUGAUGGGUUCAAAAUAGGACGGAGCUCGCGUCCUGAAU